UACGUAGGGGGCAAGCGUUGUCCGGAAUUAUUGGGCGUAAAGCGCGCGCAGGCGGUUAAUUAAGUCAGAUGUGAAAGGCUGCGGCUCAACCGUAGAGUUGCAUUUGAAACUGGUUAACUUGAGUGCAGGAGAGGUAAGUGGAAUUCCCGGUGUAGCGGCGGAAUGCGUAGAGAUCGGGGGGAACACCGGUGGCGAAGGCGGCUUACUGGCCUGCAACUGACGCUGAGGCGCGAAAGCGUGGGGAGCGAACAGG
rnacentral:rRNA from 1 species